rnacentral:rRNA from 1 species
AUGGCGGAGGAGUGGUGGGGCUCCGCACGAACCGGCGGCGACGCGCUCUCGGCGUGCUCCGCGACGCCUACCGGCUCAGAGAUCAGCGGGACUUCGGGGAUGAGUUCGGGGCCCGCAGGUUUACCGGACUCUGCCGCCGCCGCCGCCGCCUCGCCGUUCUUCCUCGCUGAUCCGCACAUGGAUUGGACGCAAUCCUUCAUGGCCGGGAAAGUAGGAGCGGCGGCCGACGCUCCGACGAGCUUCAACGCGUUGCUCCACCUGCAAGGCGACGCGAGCCGCCAGUUCCUGCUCGAUCAGGCGGAGCAUCCGCCUCCCGUUCUGGCUACCCCGUACACCGGCGGCGCGUCGCAUCAGGGGUCCGUGUACGCGGACGGACUGUACGGCUCCAGCUUGGCCAGCAGCUACGGUGACACGCAGGCCGCCGCGACGACGAAGCCGUUCUCGCAGCAGCAGCACCACCACCACCAGUUCCCAGAUUUCUUCAGCUCGACGGGGCUCUUUGGUGCGCCGGCUCCGACCCAGAGGUCACCGCAGCCUCUCCUGCAGGCUCUAGAGCCCAAACUCCUCAAGUCUAGCACUGAACCUGCGGCUCAGGACGCCUGCUCGUCGUCAUCGGCGACGAGAAGGAGCAGCGCGGCCCCUCCGGCAGCGAAGAAGCCCCGGACAGAAACGCCGAUGCCGACUUUCAAGGUGAGGAAAGAGAAGCUCGGGGACAGAGUCACCGCGCUCCAGCAGCUGGUCUCGCCUUUUGGAAAGACGGACACGGCAUCGGUUCUUCACGAGGCCAUCGGAUACAUCAAGUUCCUUCACGAUCAAGUUGCCUCUCUGAGCUCUCCCUACUUCAUCAGGUGUAGUGGCGGUCCGGUGCAGCUCCAGCACAAACAGGCUUCGGAUGGUGACGCCGGCGAGGCGAAGGAGGACCUGCGGAGCCGCGGCCUGUGCCUUGUCCCGGUGGCGAGCACUUACACGAUGGCCAGCGAGACGGCGGCACCGGAGUUCUGGCACCCUACCUUCGGAGGUUGGGGUGGGAGGGAAUGUUGGAAGGGGAACUUGUGCUUAAAGAGCAAUGCUACAUCAACGAGAUUUUACUUAAGCUUUACGGAAAGAUAUUGA